AGCUCCAAUAGCGUAUAUUAAAGUUGUUGCAGUUAAAAAGCUCGUAGUUGGACUUUGGAUUGUGUCUAAUGGUCUGCCGUGAGGUAUGCACUGUUGGGCACUUUCUUCUUCUCAAAGACUAUGCGUGCUCUUAAUUGAGUGUGUGUAGGGUUUGGGACUUUUACUGUGAGAAAAUUAGAGUGUUUAAAGCAGGCUUUUGCUUGAAUAUUGCAGCAUGGAAUAAUGGAAUAGGAUCACGAUCUUAUUUUGUUGGUUUCUAGGAUCGAGAUAAUGAUUAAUAGGGAUAGUUGGGGACAUUAAUAUUUAAUUGUCAGAGGUGAAAUUCUUGGAUUUAUGAAAGAUUAACUUCUGCGAAAGCAUUUGUCAAGGAUGUUUUCGUUAAUCAAGAACGAAAGUACGC
rnacentral:rRNA from 1 species